rnacentral:rRNA from 1 species
UACAGAGGGUGCAAGCGUUAAUCGGAAUUACUGGGCGUAAAGCGUGCGUAGACGGUUAUGUAAGUCGGGUGUGAAAGCCCCCGGGCUCAACCUGGGAAUUGCAUUCGAGACUGUGUAGCUAGGGUACGGAAGAGGGAAGCGGAAUUUCAGGUGUAGCGGUGAAAUGCGUAGAUAUCUGGAGGAACACCGGUGGCGAAGGCGGCAUCCUGGACCGGUAUUGACGCUGAGGCGCGAAAGCUAGGGGAGCAAACGGG